AAAAAAUUGACUCUCAAGAUACUCCCCUUAUGCUAUAUUUUCCAUUGGCCAAAUUCAGUGUGUUUCAAAAAUAGGCAUGUUUGGCAUGCACUCUACUGUGAGCAGAUUGGUGGACUGUAAAAUAGAGCAAGUUUCAUGGACUGCUGUAUUUUCAGUCUUGGUAAAACAGAGACAGUUUUUCAAAUACAUGAAUAAUAUACAUAACUAUCGUUUUUGUCCUUCUUGAGUAUAUGACCUAAAUGUCAUGUAGUUAGUUGAUUAAAAUAUCCCUGUCUGGACUAUGCAUCAAAAUUUGUUAAAGAAGUAAUGAAAAUAGAGAAAAAUAGUAGUCAGUUUUUGACAUUCAAAAUCAAAUUUGCAAUAACAUUGUAGUCAAGCUGUUGAUUUGAGAAAGUGCAUAUCAGUAAUCUAUCCUAGUCUUCAAAUUAUAGCUUUUUUUAAUGCUUAUUUAAAGGUAUCUAUUUUUCUAUUAAAGCUUAGCCAGAAAAUUAGCCAGAGCCAAGGAAAAGAAAAUUUGAGUCAGGGGGAAAGAGAAUUUGAAGCACAAGAAACUCUCCCUUUCUGACUCCGGAGAAUUGUGAGAAUGAAGAGAGAGGUAUUGGCAGUGCUUCUUAUUCCACUGAGCACAGAACUACCUUGUCCCAAUCCAGGAAAUAUCCACAUAAAAAGAUUGUGAUAAGCUGACUGAGUGGGUCUCUGGAUGAUGUUUGAGGACUUCUGUGAUGGAAUGAGGAAAAGGGGAGGCUGACAUCAACUCAAAUAUUUCAAAGAAAUCACAUCUGAGGUGGAACCCACAGCCAAUGCAAAAUAAAAUAGGAAAUUACAAUUGGAAUGGAAAAAAAUUAAAAUGUGAAGACCUCCUUGUUUCCUGAGGAGCAAUAUGAAAUUAAGCCAGUUAAUAAUCCUACAAUGGCCUCUACAUGUUCAAGUGAAAAGAAGAGUUCCAAAUCUUUCACUUCAAAUUAAAAGCUAGAAAUAAUUAAGCUUAGUGAGAAGGGCAUGUCAAAAGCUGAGACAGAUCUAAAUAUAGGCCUUUUGCACCAAACAGUUGGCAUGACUGUGAAUGCAAAGGAAAAAUUCUGGAAGAAAAUUAAAAGUAUUACUCCAAUAAACAUACAAAUGUUAAAAAAGCAAAACAGUAUUUUUGCUGAUAUGAAGAAAGUUUUGGGGUCUGGAUAGAAGAUUCAACUAACCAUAACAUUUCCUUAAGCAAACUUCUCAUCCAGACCAUGGUCCUAAAUCUCUUUAAUACUAUGAAGGCUGAAAGAGGUGACAAAGCUGCAGUAGAAAAGUUUGAAGCUAGCAGAGAUUGGUUCAUGAGGUUUAAAGAAACGUGUUGUCUCUCUAACAAAAAAAUACAAAAUGAAGCAGCAAGUGAUGAUGUAGAAGUACCUGUUAUCCAGAAGAUCUAGGUAAGAUAAUUGAUGAAAAUGACUACACUAACAACUCAUUCAUUUUCUACGUAAAAUAGACAGGCUUGUAUCGGAAGAAGUUGCCAUCAAGAAAUUACAUAAAGGGGAGAAGUCAAUGUUUGAAUUUAAAGCUUUGAAGGACAGGCUGCCUCUCUUGUUAGGGGCUAAUGAAGUUGGUGGCUUUAAUUUAAAAGUAAUUAUCAUUUAUUACUUCAAAGAUACUAUGGUCCUUAAGAAUUAUGCUGGCCGGGCAUGAUGACUCAUGACUGUAAUCCCAGCACUGUGGGAGGCCAAGGCUGGUGGAUCAUCUGAGGUCAGGAGUUCGAGACCAGACUGGCCAACAUGGCGAAAACCCAUCUCUACUAAAAAUACAAAAAAUAGCCGGCUGUGGUGGUGUGCGUCUGUUCUCCCAGCUACUUGGAAGGCUGAGGCAAGAGAAUCACUUGAACCAGGGUGGUGGAGGUUGCAGUGAGCUGAGAUCGUGCCACUGCACUCCAGUCUGAGUGACAAAGCGAGACUCUGUUUAAAAAAUAUAUAUAUGCUAAAUUGACUCUGCCAGUGCUGUCUCAAUGAAAAAAUAAAACCUGAUGACAACACCUGUGUUCACAGUGUGGUUUGCUGAAUAUUUUAAACUCACUGUUGAGAUCUGCUGCUCACAAGAAAAGAAUUUUUUCAAAAUAUUACUGCUCAUUGACAAUGCACCUGCCCAUAAAAUAACUCUGAUGGAGAUAUACAAAAAGACUAAUAUUUUUAUGCCUGCUAACAUACAUCUAUU
rnacentral:lncRNA from 1 species